rnacentral:rRNA from 1 species
UACGGAGGGAGCUAGCGUUAUUCGGAAUUACUGGGCGUAAAGCGCACGUAGGCGGCUUUGUAAGUCAGAGGUGAAAGCCCAGAGCUCAACUCUGGAAUUGCCUUUUAGACUGCAUCGCUUGAAUCAUGGAGAGGUCAGUGGAAUUCCGAGUGUAGAGGUGAAAUUCGUAGAUAUUCGGAAGAACACCAGUGGCGAAGGCGGCUGACUGGACAUGUAUUGACGCUGAGGUGCGAAAGCGUGGGGAGCAAACAGG